AUGGCUAAAACGAAAUAAAGUAAUGGGGUGGUUACACAUUAUCCAAAAUUCCCUAUUGCAGGUUACGCAACUUACUUUAUGUUCCAUAAUUAGUCCACGAUGGCAUCGGACGGCAACUAAAAUGGCUUUAUCACAUCCCUCGUUGACAAGUCGGUUGAUGAGAUGCGGUUGUUAUCAGUGAUGCCACUUAUUCAACUCGUCAUUUAAUAAAGUAUU